rnacentral:rRNA from 1 species
UACGUAGGGUGCGAGCGUUAAUCGGAAUACUGGGCGUAAAGCGUGCGCAGGCGGUUUUGUAAGACAGGCGUGAAAUCCCCGGGCUCAACCUGGGAACGGCGCUUGUGACUGCAAGGCUAGAGUACGGCAGAGGGGGGUGGAAUUCCACGUGUAGCAGUGAAAUGCGUAGAGAUGUGGAGGAACACCGAUGGCGAAGGCAGCCCCCUGGGCCGAUACUGACGCUCAUGCACGAAAGCGUGGGGAGCAAACAGG